UGGGGAAUAUUGCACAAUGGGCGCAAGCCUGAUGCAGCCAUGCCGCGUGUGUGAAGAAGGCCUUCGGGUUGUAAAGCACUUUCAGCGAGGAGGAAGGUGGUGAACUUAAUACGUUCAUCAAUUGACGUUACUCGCAGAAGAAGCACCGGCUAACUCCGUGCCAGCAGCCGCGGUAAUACGGGGGGUGCAAGCGUUAAUCGGAAUUACUGGGCGUAAAGCGCACGCAGGCGGUUUGUUAAGUCAGAUGUGAAAUCCCCGGGCUCAACCUGGGAACUGCAUUUGAAACUGGCAAGCUAGAGUCUCGUAGAGGGGGGUAGAAUUCCAGGUGUAGCGGUGAAAUGCGUAGAGAUCUGGAGGAAUACCGGUGGCGAAGGCGGCCCCCUGGACGAAGACUGACGCUCAGGUGCGAAAAGCGUGGGGAGCAAAACAGGAUUAGAUACCCUGGUAGUCCACGCUGUAAAACGAUGUCGA
rnacentral:rRNA from 1 species